rnacentral:rRNA from 1 species
UACGUAGGGUGCGAGCGUUGUCCGGAAUUAUUGGGCGUAAAGGGCUCGUAGGCGGUUUGUCGCGUCGGGAGUGAAAACUCAGGGCUUAACCCUGAGCCUGCUUCCGAUACGGGCAGACUAGAGGUAUGCAGGGGAGAAUGGAAUUCCUGGUGUAGCGGUGAAAUGCGCAGAUAUCAGGAGGAACACCGGUGGCGAAGGCGGUUCUUUGGGCAUUACCUGACGCUGAGGAGCGAAAGUGUGGGGAGCGAACAGG